CACUUUAAACUGGAAAGACCAUCUGGUGAGGGUUUCUUUGGUAACAGGAAGUGACUGUGUAAAAGAAGUUUAUAUGGGUUCACUUUUGUCCUCUCUGCCAUCAAGGAAGUGCAUUACUGUAAAUGAUUUGAGGACUGUCCCCAUGCGUUCUUCUUGGUGAACAAGCUGCUGAAGGCUAUAUUGAGAAAUGGUAGAAAGAAGGUGUUUUCUUACCUUUACAGGACACAGACUUUUGUGACUCAGCAUGGCCCCCGGAGUGACCCCUUUGGGAUCAAAAGAAGCAUUCCUCUCAAUCAGAUCGCAGAUUUUAUUAUCCAGCUCCAUGCUUUCGCAUCUGCCCCGGGGACGUGGGAAAGGCACAUUUUACAAGGUUGCUGAACUGAUGCCCCAUACCCAAGCCAAACCACUUGUGGCUGUGUGCUGGAUGAACACACAGGCAGAGGAGUCAGAUUGGAGUGGAGAUAAAGGGGGGCUGCAGGUGCUGCUUAGACCGUGAGAAAUUACAGCAGGACUUGCAGAACAGAGCCAAGGGAAGACUGACAAUUGAAGCAGAUUCCAAGCUGAAUCUACACCUGAUUUGUCUAUGGAUGGUGAGGAAAUAAUGGAAUAAAUUAUGGAGGCAUUUUUUCUGCAUGAAAUUUUUGGGAGAUUAAUAAAAGCUUUACCAAAAAUCACAAACUGACAUAUGAAAAUUUGAUGUCUUUUCUUAUCUUGUGAUCACAUGACCCAAUUCUUUACCUCAUAAAGUGCCAGCCACUUUUUGUUGGAUUCCUUACAUUAGUUUUGUUAGAGGUAGUAAAUAAUAUUAUGAAUCAUAUCAUGAUCAGUUAUUAGAAUGUGUAGAGUAAACCUAUGUAUUUAAUGAGAACUUCUGAAACUUUGUCCCGAGAUACAAACAGGUUCUUUUGCAGUUGGAAAUAGUGCAUUGAUUAAAUGAUCCCUCUAGAGGGCACUGUGCAUUCAGUUCAGGUAGAAACUAGUUUCUGAUGUUGCUCACAUUUUGUUAAAAUUUUCACUUAUUUGUGGAAUUGAAAAUAUGAAACAGAUGAUCCUAUGUAAAAAUAACAAACAAACAAAAAACAGAAACAGAUCAUGGCCAAGAAGAGCAGACUUUGGGUUCCUUGGGGGGGGAAGGGAGGGAGUAGGAUGGAUGGGCAUUUGGGGGGUUUGGGGAUGCAAACUAUUGUAUUUGGAAUGGAUGGGCAAUGGGAUCCUACUGUACAGCACAGGGAAAUGUGUGUGACUGGAUCACUUUGUAUAACAGAACUUGAUAAAACAUCGUAAAUCAACUAUAUUUUAAUAAAAAUUAUAAGGAAAAAAUUUUUUUACUUUAAAUUUUGAGUUCAGGAAAAAGAAAUGUGUGGUGUAUACCUCUGUAGUAACUGCAAGUCAUUUUUUUUUUCUGGAUUUUAAACUUUUAAUAAAGUUACAUUCCUUUUUUAAUAAAAGUUUUUUAUUUUAGUUUGCAGUCAUUGUUUAAAUUUUAUAUAAUAGAUUUUCCUCUGAUAACUUUCCUGCUACAGUGUAAGUUGACUUUAUUAAAGAUUGCAAUGGUCCAUAUUAAUUUAUUUCUUUUUUCUUUUUUUUUCCUGUGAUGUUCAUGUGGAUGUGAAAUUGAUGAGCCUAGAAAUUUUUUGUGCCAGAAAUUAGGAAGUACUUAAAGAACUGGUUAAAUAUAGAACAAUUUCAGCAUCAAAAUAAGUACUGAUAAAAAUGCAUUAUAACUCAUUAAAUAGGAUUAGUUAAUUUAUACUGAUAAUAAAUUUAGAAAUAGACAUAAGUGGGGACAGGAGAAAUCUUUAUAUUAGAAUACUUACUAAUAAAUAUAGAAGAAAUUACGGUAUUAGAAAAUCAGUUUCAUAGCCAUCGUAGCGUUUUUUUUAGGCUUCACCCAUGGCAUGUGGAUGUUCCCAGACUAGGGGUCAAAUCGGUACUAUAGCUGCAGUGCUACGCCACAGCCACAGCAACACCGGAUCCGAGCCACAUCUGCGACUUACACCACAGCUCACGACAACUCCAGAUCCUUAACCUACUAAGCAAGCCUGCAUCCCACUGAUCGAGUCUGUGUCCUCAUGGAUGCUAGUCAGAGUCGUUAACGACUGAGCCACUAUGGGAACUCCAGCCAUUAUAGUAAUAAUUUAAAUAGGAAAUAUCAAUGGAUGCUAAAACUUGGGGCUGAAAUUUUGAUGAGGAAUGAGA